GACGAACGCUGGCGGCGUGCUUAACACAUGCAAGUCGAACGGUAAGGCCCUUCGGGGUACACGAGUGGCGAACGGGUGAGUAGCACGUGGGUGAUCUGCCCUGCACUUCGGGAUAAGCCUGGGAAACUGGGUCUAAUACCGGAUAGGACCCUGGGAUGCAUGUCCUGGGGUGGAAAGCUUUUGCGGUGUGGGAUGGGCCCGCGGCCGAUCAGCUUGUUGGGGGGGUGAUGGCCUACCAAGGCGACGACGGGUAGCCGGCCUGAGAGGGUGACCGGCCACACUGGGACUGAGGUACUGCCCAGGCUACUACGGGAGGCAGCAGUGGGGAAUAUUGCACAAUGGGCGCAAGGCUGAUGCAGCGACGCGGCGUGAGGGAUGACGGCCUUCGGGUUGUAAACCUCUUUCAGCACCGACGAAGCGCAAGUGACGGUAGGUGCAGAAGAAGGACCGGCCAACUACGUGCCAGCCGCCGCAGUAA
rnacentral:rRNA from 1 species